UCUAUUAAAUUAAUUAGUAUAUGAAGCCAUGAUCCGCACUCGCAAAAACAGUCUUCUUUUUACAUUUUAUUAUAGAUUUA